GUAAGGCCUAAAAAAGGAGUUUCGACAUUCCAGAAACAGUUCUGGUCAAAGAUCAAUAUACAUCUAAGAAAUGGCUCGUUACGUUGAGCAGUUUGUUUAUCGACACCUCUAGAGCACAUGUCAAACAUCUGUUUUUCAGGAACAAGGAAUCCAUUGAGAUCAUUCCUAACCCCAAGACAUUAUUACAAGAUGGCAAAAUCCAAUGGAUUCCAAUGAUCUUUGUGGGAUUCCACUGAAGAGGCGCCGAUCUGAACUUCGUGAGGACUUUGAUGUGAAUAAGUGCAUCAUUUGUCAAAAAGACACGGGUAACCAACAUGCAGAAAUCCAGGAUCGCAGAAGAUCUUCACAGAAGCCGCAAAAAUUCGAAAGGACAUUGUUUCCGAGAGACUAGAAAGGGUUGAUCACGAUA